CUCAAUGCUGCCCGUGGGAGCCACAGCCCCUCCCUGGGGGGUGGGUGAGUGAAGGGCCGCAGGAGGCCAGGGGUGCAUUAAUGGAGGCCCCGUCACAAGAAGGGGUUGGGGAGGCUUGCCCAGCACACGCCCUGACCUGCGGAGGAUGGUGGCUCUGCCACGAUGCCUGCCAGCUGUCACAGCAUCUGCCCGCGGACCCACCUGGCUGCCUCUUGUAACGCCUGAAGGUGUUCUGGGUCUCUAGUCACACCGGUCCCUGUGGGCUGAUUUUCACAUGUGCAGCGCUGUCGUGGGCAGGAAACCAGAAGCAAAGUCGGGAGAGAGACUGGCGGCCCCCAGCGCUGAGGACAUCACCCCCAGCUCCUGACCGCGCCGAGAGACGCACACCGGGCACUGGAAAGUCCCUGUUGGUCUCCGGCUGGUCCCAGGAUCUGGGAGGAGUCUCCGUCAUCUCCAGGGCACUGAGCUGGCUGGUGGGACUCCUCCAGCCGUGCCCUCCAGGGCCCCCUGCCCUCCACCCCGUCCUCCCCUCUGCUUCCUUCAGGCAGGUGUGCGCAGCACCUGGCAGACUCCGGCGGCUGUUGGCUGGGAACGUGCUCCCUGCCCUUGGCCAGGUCCUCCUCCUGCUGCUGUUUUAAAAAUUAUUUUUUAAAAGCUAUUUCUGAAAUCCCUGCCGCCAACUUUCUCAUUUGCAGGAAAACAGUUAAUCCCAUGGAACUCCUUGCUCUCUGGUCAGGCGAUUAGGAACUUGAUCUGUGUUUUCCAAACCUGCCUGAGAAUAAUGUGGGUGCUUGUUAAGAACGCAGGUCCCCAGGCUCUCCCGGGGAAGGACGCGGAGUGGCUUAGCACACGGACACUCAGGGCUGGCCUAGCCCAGGAGCUUGUUAGAAAUGCAGUCCCCCAGACCUGGGAAAGCAGAGCUGUUCAUGUAUUUUAACAAGCCCCCCAGGUCAUCUGCAGCCACGUGGAAGUUCGAGAAGUGCUGGUCCGGGCACACAGUCACACUCAGGAGCUGUAAGAACAGUGUCACCUUACUCCCCGGCCCGAGUCUUCAAGCACCCAGCCAGAGGACAAGGCUGCGAUGUGACUCUGGCCUGAGCUCCCUGCUGCUGGCAGAAGCUUUAGACCAAUGGAACAGAAUAGAGAACCCAGAAGCAACUGAUCUUUGACAAAGCCAACAACAUAUACUGGAGAAAGGAAGCCCUCAUCAAUAAAUGGUGCUGUAAAAACUGGAUAGCCACAAGCAGAAGAAUGAAACAGGACUCCUAUC